AUUGAACGCUGGCGGCAGGCCUAACACAUGCAAGUCGAGCGAGCGGCGGACGGGUGAGUAAUGUAUGGGGAUCUGCCUGAUGGAGGGGGAUAACUACUGGAAACGGUAGCUAAUACCGCAUACCAUCAGAUGAACCCAUAUGGGAUUAGCUUGUAGGUGAGGUAACGGCUCACCUAGGCGACGAUCCCUAGCUGGUCUGAGAGGAUGAUCAGCCACACUGGGACUGAGACACGGCCCAGACUCCUACGGGAGGCAGCAGUGGGGAAUAUUGCACAAUGGGCGCAAGCCUGAUGCAGCCAUGCCGCGUGUAUGAAGAAGGCCUUCGGGUUGUAAAGUACUUUCAGUCGGGAGGCGUUACCGACAGAAGAAGCACCGGCUAACUCCGUGCCAGCAGCCGCGGUAAUAC
rnacentral:rRNA from 1 species